GUGCUCGUUUCAGCAGCACAUAGACUAAAAUUGGAAUGGUACAGAGAGGGUUAGCACGGCCCCUGCACAAAGAUGACAUGCAAGUUUAUGAAACACUCCGUAUUAAG